UUUCCUUUAAUCCAAUCACAGAACAAUAAACAUCCAAAAGAUCUGCAAGAUGUCUGUCAAUUGAAAUUUUCAUUGCAAAGAAACUUAACUUAAGUACUAAGACUUGAAUGCAAUUUUUUUUUGCAGAACAUGCUACACAGGCAGGAACGAGGAGAAGAAAUGUACAAUGGCACUAACUCACAACAAAACAGAGUCUUUGUUAAUCAUAUGUUGGAGGUGUGCAAAACAUUUGCCACAUCAAACUUUGAGAAGAUGUCAGCAACGUCUGAUGAAAAUGAUGCUGAGGACGAAUAAACAAGAUUCUGCUUCAUUACCUUCCUAGUAUACUCUUCUACACCAUUAUGUACUGAGCUUCAUAUCAAAAUGCUGCAUUAUAUGUUAAUGGCAUAACUUCAAACAUUUGCAACCUGAUAUAGCCUAUACAUGACCUAAAGAGCUGCACAACACUGAUUUAAUGAUAAGUCAUCAAUACAUUCAAUUUCAGAAUCCAAUGACAAAUUGUGACAGUUAUG